CUCCCUACUUCCCCAUAAAAUGCGCACAUGUGGCAACUCGUGCACAGUUAAUGUGGUCGGGCUCUUAAAGAGACAAAAUUUCGACCUAUCAGCAUCACACAAAAUUACGAUAUAAAAUGUUAAAAUACAGAGGAGCCAGGGGUUGUUAUGGUUUUCACCUGACCUCUGUUUGCCAGAUAAAAGGAGUUAAAUAUGACCAUGUACUUCGGUUGCAGGGUCUGAAUAUUGAGGCCGGGGCUGAAGACAUACGAAGAUUCUGUUAUGGGUGUAAGAUGGCACAGUGAUGCCAUCUGUUGGUAAAUGUUAAUUACUGCAACUCUUGUGUUUUACCGGUGUGCUUGAGACCCGGAUGUGUUGUCAUGUACUGAACAAGACUGGUUACUCGCA